rnacentral:piRNA from 1 species
UCCAUCGUGACAUGAGUAAGGUAAAUA